CCAUCAUUUAGUUGGGCACUCUAAAGAGACUGCCGGUGUCAAACCGGAGAAGGUGGGGAUGACGUCAAGUCCUCAUGGCCUUUAUGACCAGGGCUACACACGUACUACAAUGGCCGGUACAAAGGGCAGCCACUUAGCGAUAAGGAGCCAAUCCCGUAAAGCCGGUCUCAGUCCGGAUUGGAGUCUGCAACUCGACUCCAUGAAGUUGGAAUCGCUAGUAAUCGCAGAUCAGCACGCUGCGGUGAAUACGUUCCCGGGCCUU
rnacentral:rRNA from 1 species